AGAGUUUGAUCCUGGCUCAGAACGAACGCUGGCGGCAGGCCUAACACAUGCAAGUCGAACGCACCGCAAGGUGAGUGGCAGACGGGUGAGUAACGCGUGGGAACCUUCCCUAUGGUACGGAAUAACUUCGGGAAACCGAAGCUAAUACCGUAUAUCUCCUCCGGGAGAAAGAUUUAUCGCCAUAGGAUGGGCCCGCGUUGGAUUAGCUAGUUGGUAGGGUAAUGGCCUACCAAGGCAACGAUCCAUAGCUGGUCUGAGAGGAUGAUCAGCCACACUGGGACUGAGACACGGCCCAGACUCCUACGGGAGGCAGCAGUGGGGAAUAUUGGACAAUGGGCGCAAGCCUGAUCCAGCCAUGCCGCGUGGAUGAUGAAGGCCUUAGGGUUGUAAAAUCCUUUCGUCGGGGACGAUAAUGACGGUACCCGCAGAAUAAGCUCCGGCUAACUUCGUGCCAGCAGCCGCGGUAAUACGAAGGGGGCUAGCGUUGUUCGGAAUCACUGGGCGUAAAGCGCACGUAGGCGGACUUUCAAGUCAGGGGUGAAAUCCCGGGGCUCAACCUCGGAACUGCCUUUGAUACUGUUGGUCUCGAGUCCGAUAGAGGUGGGUGGAAUUCCGAGUGUAGAGGUGAAAUUCGUAGAUAUUCGGAAGAACACCAGUGGCGAAGGCGGCUCACUGGCUCGAUACUGACGCUGAGGUGCGAAAGUGUGGGGAGCAAACAGGAUUAGAUACCCUGGUAGUCC
rnacentral:rRNA from 1 species